CCUGGACUAGUAAAUAAUGCUACAAAGCUUCUGGAUCAUAUAAUACAUUUCCAGAUUUCAUAAAUAGAAAUAACAGAUGUGCAUAUCACCUUUGUUUCUCUGGUUCUUGCUUACCUACCUGAUAAUCCUCAUAGUCUGUCUUAAAGAGAAUUCAAAACAUUCCAUUAUGCAAAGAACACUCAGUAGCUUCAUUGAAUUCUUCAGUGGUAAUGAAUAAGUUCCCGUCUACCACUUACUGAAGAAUAAAUGUAUCACCUUAUUCAUCUCCUCCCGUUACCUUGAUCAGGUUCCCCUUAGUUAUAAGUAGCUAUCUUCCUUAGAUAAAAGAUCAAUCCUCCUCCUUAGUUGAAAGAUGAAUCUCCCCUCAGCAGUACACCACUAAAGAGUAGUUUACUCCCCCUUAGUUGUAGACGGCAGAAGAAAGCUAACUUACUUUUU
rnacentral:lncRNA from 1 species